GGUAGAAGGAGCUUGUUCCUUUGAGACCGGCGCACGGGUGCGUAACGCGUAUGCAAUCUACCUUGUACAGGGGGAUAGCCCAGAGAAAUUUGGAUUAAUACCCCAUAGUAUUUUCAGAUGGCCUCAUUUGAUUAUUAAAGUUCCAACGGUACAAGAUGAGCAUGCGUCCCAUUAGCUAGUUGGUGUGGUAACGGCAUACCAAGGCAACGAUGGGUAGGGGUCCUGAGAGGGAGAUCCCCCACACUGGUACUGAGACACGGACCAGACUCCUACGGGAGGCAGCAGUGAGGAAUAUUGGUCAAUGGGCGCAAGCCUGAACCAGCCAUGCCGCGUGCAGGAUGACGGUCCUAUGGAUUGUAAACUGCUUUUGUACAGGAAGAAACCCUCCCUUGUAAGGGAGCUUGACGGUACUGUAAGAAUAAGGAUCGGCUAACUCCGUGCCAGCAGCCGCGGUAAUACGGAGGAUCCAAGCGUUAUCCGGAAUCAUUGGGUUUAAAGGGUCCGUAGGCGGUUUUAUAAGUCA
rnacentral:rRNA from 1 species